rnacentral:lncRNA from 1 species
AGCGGACUACUAUUCCUAUCGCACCCCGCGCGACGGGCGAGCCAGUUAGUCCUUCUACCGCCAUCUUGCACGUAGUCCUUAUCCGUCUUCACCUUUCCAUUGUUCCUGACGGGGAUAACUGGAGAGGAAAGGAAGUGGAUGGACUGAAACUCCCGGCAUGUCCCACACGCGCAGAGGGUUGUAGAGGGAAAGAGGCUGAGAUCUUGGAGAGGAGGACGGAGGAAGAUGCCAUCUUGGAAGGUCCCCAGCCGGGCCCGUUGGCCGCCAUCUUCUAUGUAGUUUUUGCCCUCUCUGGCGUUCCAUUGUCUUCCACGACUGCCCCGAGGGCUAGAAGACUACAAUAUCCGUCGUGCUCCGCGCGCCUCAUUCCAGGAAGGUGGAGGUGUAGGGGGAAAGGGGGAGGGGUUGGUCUGGAAGAAGGAGGGAGGGAGGGAAGGAGGGAGGGAAGAAGGAGGAGAGAAGGAGGGGGGAGGAGAGGAGGAAGGAGGAAGGAGCUGAGGAGGGAUGAGAGAGGCGGCUGGGGCCCGGGGCCGGAGCAGCGCGGGGCCAGGGGGCCGGGGGGGCUGAGACACCCCAACUGCCCCCUGCCCCUCCCCUCCCCCUUCCUCCUUCCCUCCCUUCCUCCUACUCGAGGGGGGUUUUAUUCAAAUUUAUUUAAAUUUAUUUCGUCUUAGGGGCGAUUGCGGGGGAGGGGGGUGGGGGGGCGCGAGGGCCGGGGUGGGCGGGGCCAGAGUCGCUUCCUUCACCCCCCCUCCCCUCCCCCCUUCCCUGCCAGGGAGGGGUCACAGGAGGUUGGAACGGGCCCGGGGGAGGGGGGAAGGUUAAGGUGACCCCCCCCUCCCCUCCCCAGGAACCAGCGGUGGGAAGGGCCUGGACCCCGGGAAACGGGGAGGGGGGGGGUGGGCCUGGACCUCAGGAGUAGCUGGAGGGGGGCUAGGGUGGUGGGGAGGGAAAGGUGGGAGUUAACAGGCCAGAGCCACUUAGGAGGGAAAACGGUAGGAGUCACUGAAGCAGGGAAAGGGGAGAAUUUGAACCCCUAAACCAAGAGACACUGGGGAAGGACUUGACCUCCCAGUAGCCAAGAAACCCAAGAACCUGACCCUAUUGACGUGGGGGUGGGGCUGAAGAACUGAGUCCCCCCCAGAUCAGGGACUCUCCUGAAAACCUAGCACGAAAACCAGUGAGAGGGCCUCUCCUCCAAGGGGAUCUACACCUGAGCACCCCAAUAGGUGCUUUCACCUAUCUCUACCCACUGCCCCAGCCUCCAGGGGAGGCUGUGCAGCUUCAGGGGGCCGUGGACCCCAGAGUUCUGAGCACCCAGCGCCCUCC